rnacentral:misc_RNA from 1 species
UUUUUAUCCUUUUUCUCUACUUCAGGGCUAGUUGUCAUGUUUGGACUUGGAGAAAAACCUGGUUGUGUUGUGGGGGCUAUACUGUAAAUUUUUUUCCCUUGUUGGUUUUGUUGGGGGGGGAGUACUUGUGUUUGCAAAAAGCUAUACUGUAAAUUUUUUUACCAUGUAAAAGUCGUCAAAUUUGACUAUAAAUUUUUUCACCAUGUAAAAUUGGUUGUUAUACUGUAAAUUUUUUUGACCUUUUAAGCAGCCAAGGACCAUAUGUUUGUGUUACACUUUCAGCUUCUUAGCUAUAACACCUUCAACACAAGGAGAAAGUCCCCG